UGAUACUGGCCCGACCCGCGAGGGCUGCGCCAGUACGCGCCAGCGAGAGAGAGAGAGACAGAGAGAGAGAGGAAAGAGAGGCGAACGAUGCUGCGCAGGGCGGCCAUUUCUCUCUGGAAAGCCUCUCUCCGCCCUCCGCCGCCGGCGCUCAUUCCGACAGAGCCGCCGUCCCUUCUGAUCCCCCGGGCCGGCGUGAGCGGCACUGCUAAGGGCAAAGGCAAGCUGAAGUCGGGCCAGCCGCUGAAGCGUUCUAAGAUCACCAAGAAGAAGGGAGCCGCCGCACCACCCCCCUCCGAGGGCCGCGGCCGAGGCGGCGAGGCCGAGCGCCUACGCCGACUGGCUGAGUCCUGUCUCAAUGCCCCCACCCCCAUCCGCUACCUCACCGAGAAGCAGCGCCGCCGCGAGGCCGAGCGCGAGAAGCUUGGCCUCAUCAGCAAGGAGCGCCAGCGCGAGCUCGAUAUGGCCAAGGCCAAGUCCAAGAAGAAAGAAGGUAGCGACGGAGCUCCGGCAACACCGCCGUGGACUCGUGAGUCCUGGAUCGGCACCCCCGGCUUGGACCCCAUCUCUUUGGGCUUGAUCGACGAGAAGGACCUUAUCAAGUACGAGCUCACCGUCGAGGACGGACGGAGGCUCGCCAAGGAGUACAGCAGGGUCCUUAUGAGGAAGACGAGGGCGCGUCAGGCCGCCGAAUCCACGCUGCUGAAGCUCAAGAAAGAGGCAAUUGCGGCGCUUCCUGACCAUCUCCGCGAGGCCGCGCUUGUCCCUGACCUCACGCCCUUCCCUGCCAAUCGGUACAUGGCGACGUUGACGCCUCCGAUUCAAGGGUAUGUGGACAAGAUCAGGGAGGCCGCGCAGAAGCACGUGGUGAAGGAGAAGCUCCGAUGACGAGGAUGGUACCCGAGGUGCUCGAGUACAAUAUCAAGCCAUGGCUUUGAAACAACAUAGAUUUUGGUGGGUAGCAUUGGUUCUAGAGCUUUUUAAUCAGUUGCAAAGAGUCUGCAAUCAUAAGUCAACAUGAAGAAAGCACAAUGAUCUUCGCUUGAAAUGUGAUUGUGUGUUUUGGUGACGUUUUCUUUGCCUCCCUAGACGAGUUUGCUUGAGCAGUUGGAAGCAUGAAUUCAAUCCGUCAAAGACAUGAGUGAAAAUUACAUCCCUAGAGAACAGCGAAGAGAUACAUCUUGUUUGAUGCAUGUAACUUGGAUGAUCUUACUCACAUUACAUUAAACCUUUGUCAAUCUGAAGUAAUGUAAUGUUUGACGUUUCCCUAGAGAUCAGUUUGCAUGGACAGCCAAUUCUGUAUUCAUAGAUAACUGCAAGUGGACAUUCUUAACUGAGUUGCUUUUCA